rnacentral:misc_RNA from 1 species
AAAAUAAUCCUACCCUUUGUGAAUUUUGUUUAUUUGAAUAAUUUUUUUUUUUAAAAAUUAUUGGAGUCUUUCCCUUUAGAGUUUGCUUUUGAGUUUGUAAAAGAAUCGAAAACAUCUAAAGGGGAUGGUCAAUAAUUUUUUUUGAAAAAAGACAUUUUUUAAAAUUAAACUUUUUGUAUUCAUUUGUCUAAAAAUUAUUUUUAUAAUAUAAAAACAACUUUUGACAAUGGAUCUCUUGGUUCUCGCAACGAUGAAGAACGCAGCAAAAUGCGAUAAGUAGUGUGAAUUGCAGAAUACGUGAAUCAUCGAAUCUUUGAACGCAUAUUGCACUUUUUUAGUUUACUAAAAAAGUAUGUCUGUUUGAGUAUCAGUAAAAUAUUCUCAUAAAAAUCAUUGUGUAUUUUUAUGGUUAUGAGUGUUUUACAACGAUACAAGUUGUUUCACUUUAAAUUUUUUUUUAAUAUUGAAAUUUUUCUAAUUUUAAUAAUUAAAAUUGGAUAAAAUUUCCCGUCAAAAGGAAUAACCUAAACAAUUUUAAAUGAUUAAUUUUAGCAAAAUUUUCGUAAAAAAGGAAAAUUUUUAUUAAAAUAACUUGAUCUCAAAUCAGAUAAGAGUACCCGCUGAACUUAAGCAUAUCAAUAAGCGGAGGAAAAGAAACUAACAAGGAUUCCCUCAGUAACGGCGAGUGAAGCGGGAAGAGCUCAAAUUUGAAAUCUUGAAAGGUUCCCUUUCACGAAUUGUAGUUUAAAGAAGUGUUUUCUGUUACGUUUGUAAUAAAGUUCUUGGAAUAGGACAUCACAGAGGGUGAGAAUCCCGUCUAUGAUUGCGAUUUGUAGCUUUGUGAUACACUUUCAAAGAGUCGGGUUGUUUGGGAAUGCAGCCCAAAACGGGAGGUAAAUUUCUUCUAAGGCUAAAUAUUGGCGAGAGACCGAUAGCGAACAAGUACCGUGAGGGAAAGAUGAAAAGAACUUUGAAAAGAGAGUUAAAUAGUACGUGAAAUUGUCAAAAGGGAAGCGUUUAACACCAGUGUUGUUUUCUGAAAAUCAACCUCUGUUAGCUUUAUGCAUGUUUGUUUAGACCUAAUCAGCUAUCUUGCAUGUUCUAUUGUUUGCAGUGGUGCACUUUUCAGUUUACAGGUCAACAUCAGUUUUUUUUACCGUAAAAAAGUUAAAGAAAGGUAGCUCAUGGCUCCGGUCGUGAGUGUUAUAGUCUUUUUCCUAUGCGGUAGGAGAGACUGAGGUCUGCAGUGUAGGCUAUUUGGCUAGAUACUCAGGUGCUAUGUGAUACCAUUUCAUAAACAACUUGUUGAUUAUGUUUUGUCUAUUGCAUACUCGCUUGUACUAUCA